UACAGAGGGUGCGAGCGUUGUCCGGAAUUAUUGGGCGUAAAGAGCUCGUAGGCGGUUUGUCGCGUCGGCUGUGAAAACCUGGGGCUCAACCCCGGGCCUGCAGCCGAUACGGGCAAACUAGAAUUCGGUAGGGGAGACUGGAAUUCCUGGUGUAGCGGUGAAAUGCGCAGAUAUCAGGAGGAACACCGGUGGCGAAGGCGGGUCUCUGGGCCGAUAUUGACGCUGAGGAGCGAAAGCGUGGGGAGCGAACAGG
rnacentral:rRNA from 1 species